UACGAAGGGUGCAAGCGUUAAUCGGAAUUACUGGGCGUAAAGGGUGCGUAGGCGGUUAUUUACGUCUGACGUGAAAUCCCCGGGCUCAACCUGGGAAUUGCGUUGGAGACUGCAAGGCUGGAGUCUGGCAGAGGGGGGUAGAAUUCCACGUGUAGCAGUGAAAUGCGUAGAGAUGUGGAGGAACACCGAUGGCGAAGGCAGCCCCCUGGGUCAAGACUGACGCUCAUGCACGAAAGCGUGGGGAGCAAACAGG
rnacentral:rRNA from 1 species